rnacentral:tRNA from 1 species
GGGUGAUUAGCUCAGCUGGGAGAGCAUCUGCCUGCUACAAGCAGAGGGUCGGCGGUUCGAUCCCGUCAUCACCCACCA